ACGCCGCGUGAGGGAUGAAGGUCUUCGGAUCGUAAACCUCUGUCAGCAGGGAAGAACGGUCACUGUGCUAAUCAGCAGUGAAUUGACGGUACCUGCAAAGGAAGCACCGGCUAACUCCGUGCC
rnacentral:rRNA from 1 species